UUAAUUCCUACCCGUGGGGCGUUGUUGUGUGGCAGAUGACAUACGAUUCUAUGUCACAGGCGAGUGAGAGAGUCUGUUCUGGACGGAUGUCAAAAAUCUGUAAAUACGAUUUUUACAAAUUUUCGUUCGUAUUUCAGUUUUGGAUAUACGAGACUCUAGAGACGUUACACGAUUGGAUUGACUUUGUCGAUCUCUAUUCGUCCCCCCGGAUGUUGAGGUGGCGUACGCGAGACGUCCCUAGUUAGACUCAUAUAGGCGUAUUUUCAGUGGUGAUCCGGAGGAUGUUACAUUCCCUCUUGAGCCAUCAUCGAUCGAGGAGGGUUUACCGUGGUAUGCUGAGAUUCGUGAGUACACCGGUUUACCUGAUGCUGAUUCUUCCUCAUCUUCUUCGGUUUCGAUCGCUACUACAAACGGGGCUUCUCCAUCCUCAGGCCCUUCAGAUGUACCCGUCGAGACUUCUGAGACACAUGAGGAGCCCAUUCAGCAUCCUGUUAUGGAUCAGUCGAUAUGUUCCCCUGUUGUUCAGAGUCCACGGACAGACCAUCCUGCAGUGGAGGACCACCCUGGACUAGAGGACGAUUCCACCCAUCAUGCCACCAAGCAAUGUCCCCCAUUCGUAUCACCCAGUUUUUCUACAUUAGAUGCUACAUUAGCACACUGGGGUGCUACGAUUUUACGUGAGAUAUCGAGUUUUCGUGAUGAUAUCU